AAGUUUAAUUCGAGUAAAUGGGCACCUGAUUUGAAGGAGGCGGUCGAAGAGCUGCAGGGAGUAGACGCCCUCCUAUAGAAAAAACAUGGCUGAUUCGAGAGGGGAAGAGGGUGAUGGUGCAUCAGCUAGUGAUUACAUACCUGAACUAUGUGAACCUGAAUUUCGAUGAUGAUCCUCCUUCGACGUCCCUUGCUAGUUUGUUUGAGGAGAAUGAGCAGGUUGAAAAAUGCUUGAGGUUAUUUAUAUGAAUGCUUUCUUCUCGCAAUACUUUUCAGUGGCACUGGAUGUUGAUGACCAC